UACGAAGGGGGCUAGCGUUGCUCGGAAUCACGGGGCGUAAAGCGCACGUAGGCGGAUUGUUAAGUCAGGGGUGAAAUCCUGGAGCUCAACUCCAGAACUGCCUUUGAUACUGGCGAUCUUGAGUCCGGGAGAGGUGAGUGGAACUGCGAGUGUAGAGGUGAAAUUCGUAGAUAUUCGCAAGAACACCAGUGGCGAAGGCGGCUCACUGGCCCGGUACUGACGCUGAGGUGCGAAAGCGUGGGGAGCAAACAGG
rnacentral:rRNA from 1 species